AUACGUAGGUGGCAAGCGUUAUCCGGAUUUACUGGGUGUAAAGGGCGUGUAGGCGGUUCUGCAAGUCAGAUGUGAAAUUCCCGGGCUUAACUCGGGCGCUGCAUCUGAAACUGCAGAACUUGAGUACUGGAGAGGAUAGUGGAAUUCCUAGUGUAGCGGUAAAUGCGUAGAUAUUAGGAGGAACACCAGUGGCGAAGGCGGCUAUCUGGACAGUAACUGACGCUGAGGCGCGAAAGCGUGGGGAGC
rnacentral:rRNA from 1 species